ensembl:lncRNA
CUCUUUCUUACAGCCGUGCUGUGUGUGUGGUGACACGCAUACUGACCUACGUGUGCACGUGAAGACUUCCAGAGCUGCAUCUGCUUCAGACGUGACACUGAUGUCACCCCACGGAUGCUGCCUCGCUGUGGACAAGGCAACGGACCAAAGUUGGCGUUAUUUCCUCCGUGGAGAGCAGGGACCUCAAGGAUGGCUCUGGUGCAGCUGGCGCUCCCGUGGCGGGCAGUCACAGCCCACGCCAACCCUCUGCCCACCGCGCCUUCAUACCCUGGGGGUCAGAGUGGGCUGAGGCAGGUCCUAGGCGAGUGCUCCCACUGCCGAGCCUGCAGCUUGGUCACCAGCGCCCUCCGGCCAGCCUCAUAAACAUCACCCACCGGGCUCUGCUGCCCAUCCCCUGCUCCCCCAGCCAAGGGUCACGAGCUGCGGCCGGCAGCCGGCUGCCAAACACAGCCGUGGCUCUGUGCAGCCAGCCUGCGAGAGGUCGUCACACGCCUCCUUAAGCAAACAGGGAUCCACGCCAGUUGAUAAAUCAUUUACGAGGAGAAGUCAGAAGCAAGGAACUAGAUUAACCAGGUCACUGGGUGUCCUGAGGGAAUGACGUGUCAGUGGAGCUGAAACAGCAGAUCCCGCAGUUGCAAUCUGUUGCCUUCUUCUGUCCUGACAGCAAUUCAUGGAAAUCCCUGGAACUAGACACUAGUGAUGGAAAAAUCCAUUAGCUCAUCCAAAGUCAGCUUGCUAGUUAAAGCAGUCACUCCCAUUGUACAUUUUUUGGCAGAGUUAAAAUGUCUCAAGAGAGGGGAUUUCCACCAGUUCCUUCUCAAGGGGAAACUAUUCCACCUAUCGGGAAGGCAGCCUCGAGUGGUGCUAUUUAUGUAAAAGAGAAGUAACUCCAAGCCUGAAAGGGAAAACCGAAAGGUUCUGAUGCAGAAACACAGGCAGCGGUCGAUAGCCUGCCCCGGCUGACAUGUGCCACGCACAGCACAUCUGCGAUGGGAACACCAGGGGCCCACGUGUGUUUAUAUACAUCCACCUAGGUUACACUUAUGUAAUGCCACUGGCAUCAAGGCGAAGAAAAUUGCUAAAUUGCUUUGAGGAGGGGACAGACGCAUGGAAAAAGAGAGGCACCGGCUGCUGCUGCUGCUCUGGCACACGCUUCCCCUCUGUGUGGGGACAUGGCACGUCCCUUAGGGGCCUCGGUUCCCCAGCUGCGUGCCAGGCACAGCGACCACCCUCAGUGCUCCUGGCGUCUUGUGGCUGAACGCACAGCCUCUGGCAGCACCCUGCCCGCAGCAGCAGGGAAGGUGCUGCAACGCAGAGCUAUGUCACUGAGGUUGUCGGCAGAGG